rnacentral:rRNA from 1 species
GAUGAACGCUGGCGGCGUGCCUAAUACAUGCCAGUCGAGCGAACAGACGAGGAGCUUGCUCCUCUGACGUUAGCGGCGGACGGGUGAGUAACACGUGGAUAACCUACCUAUAAGACUGGGAUAACUUCGGGAAACCGGAGCUAAUACCGGAUAAUAUAUUGAACCGCAUGGUUCAAUAGGGAAAGACGGUUUUGCGGUCACUUAUAGAUGGAUCCGCGCCGCAUUAGCUAGUUGGUAAGGUAACGGCUUACCAAGGCAACGAUGCGUAGCCGACCUGGGAGGGUGAUCGGCCACACUGGAACUGAGACACGGUCCAGACUCCUACGGGAGGCAGCAGUAGGGAAUCUUCCGCAAUGGGCGAAAGCCUGACGGAGCAACGCCGCGUGAGUGAUGAAGGUCUUCGGAUCGUAAAACUCUGUUAUUAGGGAAGAACAAAUGUGUAAGUAACUAUGCACGUCUUGACGGUACCUAAUCAGAAAGCCACGGCUAACUACGUG